rnacentral:lncRNA from 1 species
UGGAUGUUGGUGGGUGAGGUUGUGGGCAAUGGCCUCCUGGGCCCUGGGACCACAGGCAUGUGCUGCCACGCCCAGCUUCUAGGUCUCCCUUUACAGACGGCAGGUGGGCCCUGCCUGCUAGAAGUCUGCUGUAGGCCUAUCCAGUGUCCAGAGGGGUGCUGACUUAAAGGUCCUCUUAGGAAGACACAUGAUCGGGGCCUCCCUUCUUCCUGUGACCUCAGCCCAACCUGGUGACAGCUAUAGGUCCAUUUCACAGGUCCCAGGGUCUGGUCAGAGCAUCUCUGGGAAUGGUCCAGCCCACCAGCCUGGCAGGCACCUCUCACAUCCGGCUGCUCUUCCCUUGCCCUCGGCUGGCUCUGCGCUGGGUGCCAUCCCGUGUAGCCAUUGCUUGUCCCAAGGUCCUGAGGUCUGCUGUGUGAGCAUGAGAGUGACAUGAGAGGUACCUUCACUUCUGGACCUGUUGCUUUCCUAAAUGACCCUGUAUCCCAGAGCACCUAGAGCAUCUCCCCAGUUGCUUAAGGGGACACAGAGACCACCCCAACAUGCAUGUUCAGAAAGAGCUGCCUGGUUGCUUCAAAACCCUGAGUGAGCCUUGGCCCCUCCAGACUUGGCCCCCAGCAGCCUCCUCCUGGGCCUUCCUAGCUGGCUCAGGGCCCCUACUGCUGUGAAUGCCCCAGUGAGACCACCCGCACAUUGCGUCCACGCGUCAUGGUGCUGAGGGUCUUUGCGUGGGGUGCCAUGGCCUCGUUCCUCCUGUGCUGAACAGCACCCCUGAAUAUGGUGACCACAUUUGCCCUCCUCUGGUGGCGCAUGGCUGUGGCCUGCAGCUUUGGCUCUGCAGUGAAUGGUACUGAGACAUGCUGGGCCACGCUGGACACUGACCCUCAGACAUUACGAGCACUGCCUCCCUGCCCUCUUCACCUCAAGACAGGACUCACCAAGCAGACAGGCUGGCAGGAUCGAGGCCGCUCUCCCAGGUGGCUCGCGCCUGGCUGCGGGUGCUGCUCCUGUGCGAUGACAGGUCAUGCUGAGGUGCUGCCUGGCGCCAGACCCCAGAGGACUGAAGACGCCCAUGAGGUCUCCACCCGGGGUCUGGUCUCUGAAGGCACUGUGCAAAGACACACUGCAGCAAAGACCAGGAACCCUGGAGGACUGCUAGGCCUGCUCUGAAGGUCACAUGCUCUGAAGAAAUUAAGAGGAAAAACUCGGCUGUCCUAUUUGCCCAGUCACCUCCUGUGUCCUCGCUUCUCCUCAGGUUCCAGUUGGGCUUGGGGCCUCUGCAGGACUCUAGUGGCACCCCUGGUAGCACAGCUCCCUGCUGGUGACUCUCCUUCAAGUGCCUUUGCUCCACCUGUGUCCUGCGUCCCAAGUUCAAUCCUUGGGCAGCUUCCCUCGCCCUGGUCGCCCUGGUCGCCCUGGUCGCCCUGGUCUCGGGAACCUUUGCCCCGGGGCCUGAGAAAGUUUUCUGGCUGCUUUCAAGGCUUUGGGUUUAUCCUCUCUGGGGUUCACUGAGUUUCGUGAAUUUUGGUGUCUUUUAAAAAUUGUUUUUACUUUGUGUAGAGGGUACUGGGAUUGAACCCAGAGGUGCUUAAACCACUGAGCAACAUCCCCAGCCCUUUCUCAAUUUUGAAACAGGGUAUCACUAAGUUUCUGAGGCUGGCCUUGAACUUGUAUCCUCCUGCCUCAGCCUCCUCAGCUGCAGGGAUGACAGGUGCGGCCACAUCCUUCUCCUUUUGCUUGGGAUCUAUGGCAAAUGACAGACACCCAGGUCCCUGCAGCAUGAUCACUUCUAUUUCCACUUUUUUUUCUUCUUUGUUGGUGCUGGGGAUUGAACCCAGGGCCUUGUGCAUGUGAGGCCAGCACUCUACCAACUGAGCUAUUUCCCCAGCCCUGUUUCCAAAUGCUUUUCAUCCAAUUGUUGUUCUCAAGUUCUGUGGCUUCUGACCCACUUCUAGAGCACUGGCUCAAUGGAGUGUGAUCAGUUUGUCUGCUGUGUUUUCUGGCCUUGCAACGUCUGGGUCGAGCUGCAGCUGUCCUGUUUUCCCUGUGGAACUGAGAUUCUGGCUGCGUCUGGCACCCUGGAGGCCCUGCGUGCAGCCUGGAGACGUGGUCUUUGGCAGGCAGCUCCACUCCAUGGAGUCCUGCUGUGGUUCUUCCUGGGCCCACCUGCCCGGGCCCUGGGUGUUUUGCUGUGGUGGCUCCUGGCAUCGUUCUGACUAGCCUUCACCCUGGCCGCAAUCAGUCUUCCAGGCCAGAGGCUCAGGUCUUGACCUCCCCGUGUCUUCCCACUCCUGUGCCUGGGUCCUGCUUGGGGCCAGAGUAGAUAGAAGGGGAAGAUGGGGAGCGUGGCGGAGCUCUGCUCCUCGGGCCCUGUGCCCCACUUUCCCACUCCUGGUCCCAGCACUUCACCCCUCCACUGCUGCUCCUGGCUUUAAUGUCUGGCCCAGUCUUCCUAUCUGCUGGGCUCCCCUGCCAUCUCCACAGGCCCCGCAGCUGCAGUGGCACUGUCCCAAGGCCUACUCCCGCCUUGUGUUCCGGGUCCCUGAACAGCACGGCCCCAGAGGCCAGGCAACUGCUGGGAGGGCAGCAUUCACCGGUCCUAGUGUCCUGAAAGUGGGGGCUGCCCCAUAGUAAGCACAGGACCCCUGGGCAGCACGACGGACUGUCCUAUUUCCCUGGUGGAACUGUACCAACAUGAACCUUGCACCUUCCAGGAACCCUGUUCCAGAGGAGCCCAGAGUGUGAUGUGUGCCCAGGCUCCAGUGAAGGACAGCACGUGGCAGGUGGGCAGCACCAGCACCUUCAGGAAGGCUGACCUGCUCAACGGGCUGCAGACCAGUGCCGGCCUUCCCCAGGAUGAGGGCUGCCUGCAGAAGCCACAGCAGCACAGCUGCCACCCCAGGGCCAGUGAAGCCAGAUUUAAAGUUAGGUAGUCAGUGUAGUUAGAUAAAUCGGGUCUAAUAUCUAGUGAAAUCUAAAAUGGAGACCAUGCGGAGAAUGACUCAGGGAAAACACAGGACAACUCAUGGAAGUCCCAAAAAGGCCCUAGGCCAAAGUCCACCUCAAAGAAAUGUUAAUGAACAGCCCCCAGCAAAAAGGUGCUGACUCAGAAGUCCUUCCUGACCAGAUUACUUCUCUGCCCCACCUGUGUCCCACCCCUCGGGCCUUCCAACCUACAUUCCAUCACCAAAACUAUAAAAAGGGGAAACAACCUCACUUCCACGGAUUCCACCUCUUGGGUCCCCUUCUUCCUCCGGGAGAAGUCUUUUCUGCUGUCCUUUAAUAAACUUCUAAUUUCUACUCUGA